AUAUACUCACUUUGUCAUCAACAUCAGUAAAGUUCCGUACAUAAUUGACUUCAUAUCCCAGAUAUUGCAGGUAUCUACUCAAUUCUCAACAAAGUAAAACCUUGUUAGUAUCCAAAAUUAGGGCCAGCUUGGAUCAGCAAAGGUAAAUCAAUAU